GAUGAACGCUGGCGGCGUGCCUCAAACAUGCAAGUCGAGCGGGGCUAUGUAAUAUCGCAAGGUAGAACAUAGCCUAGCGGCGAACGGGUGAGUAACACGUGGGUAACCUGCCUGGAAGACAGGGAUAACGAUUCGAAAGGGUCGCUAAUACCUGAUAAUAUCCUUUUCAUCGCAUGGUGAUAGGAAGAAAGGGGAAACCCGCUUUCAGAUGGGCCCGCGUCCCAUCAGCUAGUUGGUAAGGUAAAGGCUUACCAAGGCGACGACGGGUAGCCGGUCUGAGAGGAUGUACGGCCACACUGGGACUGAGAUACGGCCCAGACUCCUACGGGAGGCAGCAGUUGGGAAUCUUCCACAAUGGGCGAAAGCCUGAUGGAGCGACGCCGCGUGAGCGAAGAAGGCCUUCGGGUUGUAAAGGCUCUGUCUGGAGGGACGAAGGAAGUGACGGUACCUCCGGAGGAAGCCACGGCUAACUACGUGCCAGCAGCCGCGGUAAGGAGUAGUACA
rnacentral:rRNA from 1 species